rnacentral:ncRNA from 1 species
UUUAUCAAGAACGGUGGAGGGACUGGCCCUGUGAAACCUGGCAACAACCGAUAUUUAUAUAGUCGGAACUGUGCUAAAUCCUGCAAGAAUUUUAUUCUUGGAAGAUGAGA